AAAAAUCUCAUGUGGAACAAAAGGGUAAUUAAGCCAUGCAUGUCUAAGUAUUAACUAAUUUAGAAUAUAAAACUGUGAAUGGCUUAUCAAAUCAUUUACAAUAUGUUUGAUGGUAUCUACUACUUGGAUAAUCGUAGUAAUUCUAGAGCUAAUACGUGCAACAAACCCUGACUUCUGGAAGGAAUACAUUUAUUAGAUAAAAGAUUGAUGCAAGCUUUCCCCAUUGUUUUGAUGAUUCAUGAUAACUCAAUGGAUUGCACGGCUUUCAUGCCAGUGAUGCAUCAUACAAAUUUUUACCGUAUCAACUUUUGAUAGUAAGAUAGUGGCUUACUAUAGUGGUGAUAGGUGAUAAAGAAUUAGAGUUUGAUUCUAGAGAGAGAGCUUGAAAAAUAGCUACAACAUCUAAGAAAGGCAGUAACUGUGCAAAUUAUCCAAUCUUAACAUGGGGAGGUAGUGACAAUAAAUAAAAAUACCAUGCUUUAUGAGUCUAGUAAUUGGAAUGAGUACAAUCAAAAUCCUUUAAUGAGAAUCCAUUGGAUGGCAAGUUUGCCAAUAGCAACGAUAAUUCUAGCUCCAAUAGCAUUUAUUUAAGUUGUUACAGCUAAAAAGCUCAUAGUCAAAACUAAGGUUAGGUCAUUUGAUCCAUCUCACAAUGAACACCGAUCUACAUGUCCCUACUAUCGAUUAUGUGUUCUUUGCCUUAACUAGCCAAGUUGUUCUUUCAACACUAUUACCUUGAAGAAAUUAGAAUGCUCAUAGCAGGCUUAUGCUUGUAUACAUUAGUAUGGGAUAACAUCAUAGGAUUUUGGUCCUAUUAUGUUGGCUUUUGGGAUCAAAGUAAUGAUUAAUAGGGAUAGUUAGGGGCAUUCAUAUUUCAUAGUUAGAGGUGAAAUUCUUGGAUUUAUGAAAGAUAAACAACUGUGAAAGCAUUUGCCAAGGAUGUUUUCAUUAAUCAACAAUGAAAAUUAAGGGCAUGAUGAUGAUCGAAUAACGUCCUAGUCUUAACCAUAAAUGAUGCCAACCAAGGAUUGGUGGAUGUUGUUUUUAGGAUUCCGUCGGCACUUUAUGAGAAAUCAAAGUCUUUGAGUUCUAAGGGGAUAUGGUCGCAAGGCUAAAACUUAAAGGAAUUGAUGGAAAAGCACCACUAGGAGUAGAGCCUGUAGCUUAAUUUGACUUAACAUGGAAAAAAUUUCCAAGUCUAUACAUAGUAAGGAUUGAUAGACUAAAAGCUCUUUCUUGAUUCCAUGGGUGGUGGUGCAUGGCUAUUCUUAGUUAGUGAAGUGAUUUGUUUGGUUAAUUUCGUUAAUGAAUGAGACUUCAGCCUACUAACUAGCUACAAAAAGGUGAUCUUUCAUGGCUAACUUUUUAGAUGGAUUAUGGCCACUUAGGCCAAAGAAGUUUGAGGCAAUAAUAGGUCUGUGAUACCUUUAGAUAUUUCGAGCUGCCUAUGCACUACACUGAUGUAUUCAUUGAAUCUAUGGUCUUGGCCGAUAGGCUUGGGUAUUAUUUGAAGUUUCAUCAUUAUGGGGAUAUAUCAUUGCAAUUAUUGGUCUUCAACGAGGAAUUUCUAAUAAACACGAGUCAUCAACUCGAUUUGACUAUGUCCUAGCCCUUUGUACACACUACCUAUCCCUUAUACUAAUUGAAUGGUCUGAUGAAGUGUUUAGAUCAUGGCGACAUGGAUGGUUCACUACCUGUGAUAUCUCGAGAAGUCCACUGACCUUAUCAUUUUGAGGAAGGAGAAGUUGUAACAAGGUUUUUAUAGGUGAACUUGCAAAAG
rnacentral:rRNA from 1 species